UUAUUCUGACACCAGUAGUCUCUAAUCAUAAUGAGCAAUGGAAUGACUAUUUACUUUGUUUUUCAAGUAAAACUCAGAAGGUGAGGGAGUUUUACUCUGUUUUAAGGUGAUUGAUACCAUAGAUCAUGGUUAGAGACCCCAUUAAGGACAAUCAAGGAACUACUACAGUUGUGAAAGACUUUUCUGGAAACCAGCCACAUAUUUAACCUACUAGUUAAACCUUGGGAGGUGUUUACAUAGAUAUAAUUAUUGUCAGUGGGAUUAAACUCUCUUGAAAUGUUUACCAGGUCAAAUUCAUAAAUAAAACUUUAAGCUUCUGAGCUGAGUGAGGAAGUUGUAUUCACUCACUAGGCAUUCUGCCUCAUCCCUGUUCAACCCCCACAUAAAAAUCCCCUCCCACAUUAAAAACAUUUCCAUCAGGGGUUGGAGCUCCAAAGAUGGGUUGCUGAAAUUUCCAAUGGCCUGUAUUGAGGCCAUAGUAAUUAAUUAACAUAGCAGGCCCUAAGAUUGAAAUGUUGUUGCACACAACUAAUUCUCUUGGUUAAUAAUAUGGCUACCGCUCUCUCAGCAGCUUUGACUGAGCUCUCAAAACACCUCCUGGCUCCUGGCUAUUUUGCUAAUACCUUGGGGAUGAAAAGGGAAUUAAAAAAACAAAAAAAAUGGUACAACCAAGUAAUACUUCUGUGAUAUACAGUCAGAUAUAUAUAGUCAGUAGACUCUGCAGAUGGAAUGGUAUAGUAGCAGAAAGUCUGCCUUUAAAUCACAUGGUAAUCCCAGCCACUGAGUGAUGGAAAACAGUUUUGUCAUUUCUUGCUAAUUACAGUGUAUUAUACCACCACAACUUAAAAUGUCAUCCAUGGUCAUUAAAAGAACAGCAGCAGUUCUGACAUGUAACAGUCACCACACUGAUCGAGUCCUCCAAAUGGUUGGUAAAAUCACCCCAGGAUUUUUCCACUUCAGCUACAUCAACUGGUGGGAUCUCUGAGUAGGAGGUAUGGCUAGGGGGGGGGCAUAUUUAUUAGGGCUUAGUAUGAAGGAAUUCAAAAGGUUAGUCAUUGAAUGGACUGCUUGGUCCAUUUUCACAGCCAGUGCCAAAAGCAAAGUGUUUUAGUGUUUUUACAUUUUUGUAAUAGGGGCAUUUGCAGGGACAUUUGUUUAAGGUUCUGUCCCAUUUUUGCUUGAAUUAACUGAUGAUGAGGUAGCUGCGACAGCAUCUGUAUAGGUAUGUUGGUCUUUCUUACUCUCUGAUUGUGCUGUAUAUCCACAGGAGUCUGAAAAGAAAUGUUGAUGGUUUCCUUCAUAAGGAACAAUGUAGCAGCAGGUUAGAGUAGGUCACCAGAAAGGCCGUCUUCCUGCAAUACCACAAAUACAGGGCUAACACCUUCCUUUUAUUGUAUAAGGCCAUGCUGUAAUCUGGGGCCAUGGGCACCAAGUGGCCAUCUAUCUUCAAGAUUCUGUCCUAGGUUCUAAGUUUCUCUAGUAUUGAUUCCUGUCAGUCAUUCAAGCAUUUGAAAAUAAAAUGCCUCAGCUGAUUAGCCCAUUUGGCUCUACCAUUCUACCCCAUACCCCAUAUGCCCAUUCUCUAACUGGGGUAGAUGUACCCUCGAAGAGUACAAGCAGGGCAUUCCUAAUAUACAAAGUCGGUUCUAACUCUUCCACUCUGUCAGGCACCUCAGUAAUGCUGUUUCUCCAAGCCCGAUUUUUGAUAGCCUCUGAUUUGGCCUCCAUGCUAUAGGGUCAGUCUGAAAGGGCUUUUUAGAGAUGAUGAGUGCUGUGACGCUACAACUGUCUGAUCUGACAGCUCUUUUGCUUGGAAUGGUAAGGCUGUUUGGAUCUCUGUUAACUUAUUCUUGUAGCUUGCAGACAACGUUUUAAUUUAUUUCACAUCUGUUGCCUGGGGUGUAUUUUUUGCUUCUAAACAAGUCAACAGACAUCUUUUGUCAGGAACUUUGUGGUAAGGGUGUUGGUAUUAAUGGCCCUUUUUUGUAGUGGACAUUAGAAUCUACACUGAUUUCACUUUUUUUCUGCCAAUUAAGUCCAUGUUAUAUGGCACAGCUAUGUUGAGUAGAUUAUUUAUGUACAGACCAUCAAAUACACUAAACCAAAACUCAGACUUGCCUCUUUUCCAUUCAGACACUUCCAGUAAGACAUGGCUGGAAAUUGAUGUCACCUGAGUUUGCCUACAGGACUAUGAAUUUCAGUCUCUGCUUCAAGCAGGUACAGAUGCAUUGACAAAUUUCUCUAGGCAGCACGUGUUGUCAUAGUAGCUUAGGUCCCUGUAUCAAUCUUGAAACUUACUUUGAGUUCUAUGAAUAGGAAGUUUCCCUUGCCAGUUUGGUUCAGUGAUAGAUAUAGGAAUGACUGUUCCCAGGAAAACCACUUUCUGAAUAUUAUUUUCAGUUUUAUUUUCAGAAAUAACUUUAAUUGGUUUUGCCUUGCAAACAGCAGUGAGCUUUCCCAGUCUUUUAAACCUCUGGCUCCUCUUGCUAUGUUCAACAUACUGUUCUGACUCAGCAUGGUAAUAAUCACACCUUGCGAAUUGGCUAGGUAUAUGUAUUCACUCAGGUUCUUGUGUAUUCUUGUUUGGCCAGAACUGUGUCUCUUUUUUGAAGUUGCCAUUAUCUCUGCAUUUUACCCCCCAAGCAUCAUUUGCCUUAUUUAAAUUUGCAUUCUCUUUCUUAACUAAUUUCACCCCUUUGGUGAUUUGUAUUGACUUUUCUAAAGUUAAAUUUACUAGUUGUAAAAUUUGAGACACUUCUACAUCUUUCAGCCCAGUCACAAUACUGCCUUUUUUAUCUUUAGUAACAUUAAACCCCAAAUUAUCAGCUAUUUGAUCCAACUUUCUUACAGAAAACUAUAACAUACUCACCUGGCAAGCAUGGGAUUUUUCAAAAAGCUGAGCCAGACCCAAGCUAAUGGUCUAGCUUGGUUUUGGAACCCAAUAAGGGCAAAGCCAGGCCUCAUAAAGUGGAAAGAAAUGUAGAAAAGAAAAAUCACUAGAACCAAGGUAGGUAGGUAGGGCACACAACAAAACGAAAAAUCACUAGAACCAAGGUAGGUAGGUAGGGAGCACAACGAAAAGAAAAAUCACUAGAACCAAGGUAGGUAGGUAGGGCACACAACGAAAAGAAAAAUCACUAGAACCAAGGUAGGUAGGGUACACAACAAAAAGAAAAAUCACUAGAACCAAGGUAGGUAGGGCACACAACGAAAAGAAAAAUCACUAGAACCAAGGUAGGUAGGUAGGGCACACAACAAAACGAAAAAUCACUAGAACCAAGGUAGGUAGGGUACACAACAAAAUAAAUCACUAGAACCAAGGUAGGUAGGUAGGGAGCACAACGAAAAUAAAAAUCACUAGAACCAAGGUAGGUAAGAAGGGCACACAACAAAAUGAAAAAUCACUAGAACCAAGGUAGGUAGGUAGGGAGCACAACGAAAAGAAAAAUCACUAGAACCAAGGUAGGUAGGUAGGUAGGGCACACAACGAAAAGAAAAAUCACUAGAACCAAGGUAGGUAGGGUACACAACAAAAAGAAAAAUCACUAGAACCAAGGUAGGUAGGUAGGGCACACAACGAAAAGAAAAAUCACUAGAACCAAGGUAGGUAGGUAGGGCGCACAACGAAAAGGAAAAUCACUAGAACCAAGGUAGGUAGGGCACACAACAAAAAGAAAAAUCACUAGAACCAAGGUAGGUAGGUAGGGCACACAACAAAAAGGAAAAUCACUAGAACCAAGGUAGGUAGGGCACACAACGAAAAGAAAAAUCACUAGAACCAAGGUAGGUAGGUAGGGCACACAACAAAACGAAAAAUCACUAGAACCAAGGUAGGUAGGUAGGGAGCACAACGAAAAGAAAAAUCACUAGAACCAAGGUAGGAAGGUAGGGCACACAAUGAAAAGAAAAAUCACUAGAACCAAGGUAGGUAGGGUACACAACAAAAAGAAAAAUCACUAGAACCAAGGUAGGUAGGGCACACAACGAAAAGAAAAAUCACUAGAACCAAGGUAGGUAGGGUACACAACAAAAAGAAAAAUAACUAGAACCAAGGUAGGUAGGUAGGGCACACAAUGAAAAGAAAAAUCACUAGAACCAAGGUAGGUAGGGUACACAACAAAAAGAAAAAUCACUAGAACCAAGGUAGGUAGGUAGGGCAUACAACGAAAAGAAAAAUCACUAGAACCAAGGUAGGUAGGUAGGGCGCACAAUGAAAAGGAAAAUCACUAGAACCAAGGUAGGUAGGUAGGGCACACAAAAUGAAAAAUCACUAGAACCAAGGUAGGUAGGUAGGGAGCACAAUGAAAAGAAAAAUCACUAGAACCAAGGUAGGUAGGUAGGGCACACAACGAAAAGAAAAAUCACUAGAACCAAGAUAGGUAGGGUACACAACAAAUAGAAAAAUCACUAGAACCAAGGUAGGUAGGUAGGGCACACAACGAAAAGAAAAAUCACUAGAACCAAGGUAGGUAGGGUACACAACAAAAAGAAAAAUCACUAGAACCAAGGUAGGUAGGUAGGGCACACAACGAAAAGAAAAAUCACUAGAACCAAGGUAGGUAGGUAGGGCACACAAUGAAAAGAAAAAUCACUAGAACCAAGGUAGGUAGGGUACACAACAAAAAGAAAAAUCACUAGAACCAAGGUAGGUAGGUAGGGCACACAACAAAAUGAAAAAUCACUAGAACCAAGGUAGGUAGGUAGGGCACACAACGAAAAGAAAAAUCACUAGAACCAAGAUAGGUAGGUAGGGCACACAAUGAAAAGAAAAAUAACUAGAACCAAGGUAGGUAGGGUACACAACAAAAAGAAAAAUUACUAGAACCAAGGUAGGUAGGUAAGGCACACAACAAAAAGAAAAAUCACUAGAACCAAGGUAGGUAGGUAGGGCACACAAUGAAAAGAAAAAUCACUAGAACCAAGGUAGGUAGGUAAGAUGCACAACGAAAAGGAAAAUCACUAGAACCAAGGUAGGUAGGGCACACAACAAAAAGAAAAAUCUCUAGAACCAAGGUAGGUAGGUAGGGCACACAACGAAAAGAAAAAUUACUAGAACCAAGGUAGGUAGGUAGGGCACACAA